rnacentral:sRNA from 1 species
GCCAGGUGUGGUGGUGCAUGCCUGUCAUCCCAGCAACUCAGGAGGCUGAGGCAGGAGGAUCUCUAGUUCAAGGCCAGCCUCAGCAACAGUGAGGCCCUAAGCAACUCAGGGAGACUCUGUCUCUA